CCCCGCGUAGCUCAACGGCAGAGCAUUCGGCUGUAGCCCGAAAGGUCGCUGGUUCAAAUCCGGCCGCGGGGA
rnacentral:tRNA from 1 species